UGAUGUGCAGAUUCUUCAGGUGCUAUCUGGGAACCCAUUGCUGGAAGAGCAAUGGGCUAAACAGAAACAGAAUUAAUGCACCCAAAAUAAUUUCUUAGUGCAAUUGCUGUGUAAGCUAAUAAAAUACAUUUGACUACUAAAGGUCCUUUGCGUCACCUUUUUAUGCAUUUCACCAUAAAUGAGUAUCGAGAUUUUGGAUUAUAGAAAAUAAAAAUGAAUAAAGAAAUUUAUAAGGAUCUAAAAGGAUGCGUCAACACUAUUUUUGUUGACUUGUUCGGCGACCAGGAGGCUGCAGUUCGUCUUGGUGGUCAAGUUUUCUGUAAUCGAUGAAUGUCAAGAUGCCAAGAAUAAAAGCUUCGAUUAACGUCAA